GGUUGGUCUGAGUGCAGUGGUGUUUACAAUUAAUUGAUCACAACCAGUUACAGAUUCCUUUGUUCCUCCUCCACUCCCACUGCUCCACUUGACCAGCCUUAA
rnacentral:Y_RNA from 1 species